GUGAUGAUGCACAGAAAUACAACAAUACUAUCACGACUCAGGAUAUGACCCAGAUGAAAACACGGAAGGCGGAUAGUACAGUUCUCAGAUGAUUUAUUAGAAACACGAGGCAUGCAAAGGGCAGGCAGAGGUUCAUAAUCAGGUCAGAGUCAGACAGGUACAGGACAGCAGGAAGGCUCAGGGUCAGGGCAGGUAGAGGUUCGUAAUCAGGUCAGAGUCAGGCAGGUACAGGACAGCAGGAAGGCUCAGGGUCAGGGCAGGUAGAGGUUCGUAAUCAGGUCAGAGUCAGGCAGGUACAGGACAGCAGGAAGGCUCAGGGUCAGGGCAGGCAGAGGUUCGUAAUCAGGUCAGAGUCAGGCAGGUACAGGACAGCAGGAAGGCUCAGGGUCAGGGCAGGUAGAGGUUCGUAAUCAGGUCAGAGUCAGACAGGUACAGGACGGCAGGCAGAAUGGUCAGAACCGGGAAACAGAAUUAGCGCAACAGGAAGGCGGGAAAGAACCCUGGUAAGACAAGACGAACUGGCAACAGACAAACAAAAAUACACAGGGGAUAAUGGGGAAGAUGGGCGACACAGCACAAAGACAGGUGAAACAGAUCAGGGUGUGACACAAUACAUCACAAAACAACAAACAGGGUGUCUCAAUUCUGAACUGCAUUUUUGAAAUUCUUUUUGUUUUAUUAUAAACAUUUUAAUAUUUUUCAAGUGAUUUAGCAAUAUCAGAACUUGCAAUACUUGGUUACAUGACCUUAUGUGACCCAUCCCCCCUCUAACCAGGCAUUAUUAUGGCAUUUUUUUUGUUUAGGGGGUGUGUCACAAUAUCUAUCAAUUUAACCACUUUUUCACUAAAAUAUUUUUACCCAACCAUCCA
rnacentral:lncRNA from 1 species